GCCAGUGGAGAAGCGCCUCCGUACUACCACCGUUUAGUGAUCACGUUAGGAAAAUUAAUGACUACACCUUGGCCGUGACGAAUGACUUGUGGAAGACUGUGAGACCACAAGAUUUUUGUU